rnacentral:misc_RNA from 1 species
UGCGGAGGGAUCAUUACCGAGUGAAGGGCCCCCGGGCCCGAUCUCCCACCCUUUGUUUUCUGACCCUGUUGCCUCGGGGGCGACCCUGCCUUCGGGUGUUGGGGCCCCCGGUGGCCUACUUAACUCUGCAUCUUAGCGUCUGAGUAUAAAUUGAAUCAAUCAAAACUUUCAACAACGGAUCUCUUGGUUCCAGCAUCGAUGAAGAACGCAGCGAAAUGCGAUAAGUAAUGUGAAUUGCAGAAUUCAGUGAAUCAUCGAAUCUUUGAACGCACAUUGCGCCCCUUGGUAUUCCGAGGGGCAUGCCUGUUCGAGCGUCAUUACACCACUCAAGCCUGGCUUGGUAUUGGGCGUCGCGGUCCGCCGCGCGCCUUAAUGUGUCCGGCAGAGCCGUAUCGUCUCUAAGCGUUGUGGUUUAAUCAAUCCGCUUGCGAGAAGGUCGGUCCGCGCCGUUAAACCCCCCAUUAAAGGUUGACCUCGGAUCAGGUAGGGAUACCCGCUGAACUUAAGCAUAUCA